CUCUCUAUUUUAUACGUGAGUGUCACGGUUUAGUAAGGGUAUUAGCCGGGAAUGUUCUGAAGGGAAAUUGCAUUUAACCAUACAGUUUAUAAAAACAUUGUGUUUCCAGAUUGUUUACAUUAACACACUCUGUUGAAAGAGCAUUAAUUUUACCAUGCUAUUGUUUAUACUGCAGCAAAUUGAGUUCAUGAAUAGAUGUUUGACAUUUAAAAAGCUGUUAGAAUAAGCUUUGAUAGACUAGCAGUUUUGGAACUUUCGAGAAGCCAGUCUUUGCAUAAUUCUGGACGUGCGUAGUUUCACGUCAAUUUUCACUGAUUUAUAAUUUGUAAUUUAAGGCAUUAUAUGUCAAAUAAAAGAUCAUGAAACGUACCAGCCGUCCUAAGAAGGGUACGCAUUCGGCGUGUACCUGUUGUUCCGGACAAAAACAAGCACACAAGCGCAAAAACAAUGAUGCCCCAACCUCAACAAAAGGCAAAGGCCCGAAAAAACAAAAGACUCACAACAUUCUGCCCCUGGAGGCCAAUCUAGAUGACGAUGUGAAUGAGAACUUCAGCAGUGAUGAGGAAACAUCGGUUCGUUUGCCAGCUGCUCCAAGUACAGCAACAACCCUUGGUGUCCAAACAUCCUCAUCUGCGAGUCCUCACAUGCCAGCAGUUCCCCCGCAUCUACCAGUAGAAUCAGACUCUUCUUCAGACUCCGAUUCGGAUGAAGACGAUCACUAUCUGUUCCCAAGCUUACAACAGGCCGUGCUCUGGGCGGCGGUUCCCUUUUGGCGGUUUUUUGCCUCCCAGUUAUGUACAUUAGGGAAAACAUUUAUAAUAAGUUUGCUUUGAUUAUGUACUUCGUAAUCAUGCAUAUGUCAGUUUAUGGCAUUUAUAAUAAAUGUCCAGUUUUCAUUCAAACAUAGUUUUCUGUUUUCCCUUUUUCCCAUAAUCGAGUUCGACCUAGACUGUUAUCUCUCCCCCGACCUUGGGCAAUACAUAAAUAACAUUUUAUGCCAACAUAAUUUUUUUAUGUCAUUGACCUCCCCACUCUCUAUUUUAUACGUGAGUGUCACGGUUUAGUAAGGGUAUUAGCCGGGAUUGUUCUGAAGGGAAAUUGCAUUUAACCAUAAAGUUUAUAAAAACAUUGUGUUGCCAGAUCGUUUACAUUAACACACUCUGUUGAAAGAGCAUUAAUUUUACCAUGCUAUUGUUUAUACUGCAGCAGAUUGAGUUCAUGAAUAGAUGUUUGACAUUUAAAAAGCUGUUAGAAUAAGCUUUGAUAGACUAGCAGUUUUGGAACUUUCGAGAAGCCAGUCUUUGCAUAAUUCUGGACGUGCGUAGUUUCACGUCAAUUUUCACUGAUUUAAAAUCCACCUCCUCCCAUGCCUCCUCCUCUUAGUUUAUCAUGCUUACAUUCUAGCUAUUUUAGUUAUAUGUGUUUUACAGAGUUGAAAGAUAGUUAAAUGAUUUACUUUGCUUUACAUUAUAGCCUUUUUAGUUCUAUUGUUUUAUUUGAUUUGCAAUUAUGCCAUUCUAGUCUUCAAAGUUGCCAAUUUUGAUUGAAUACAUGUAUGAUUCUCGUCUUUGGGUCGGCGGUUUUUUGCCUCCCAGUUAUGUACAUUAGGGAAAACAUGUAUAAUAUGUUUUCUUUAAUUAUGUAUUACGUAAUCAUGUGGCGGUUUUUUGCCUCCCAGUUAUGUACAUUAGGGAAAACAUUUAUAAUAUGUUUGCUUUGAUUAUGUAUUACGUAAUCAUGUAUUUGUCAGUUUAUGGCAUUUAUAAUAAAUGCCCAGUUUUCAUUCAAA